UUACAAUAAGUUUACAUUAUACAAUUAUCGGAGUGAUUACAAAAGAAAGUGAUUCAAAAGAAUUAUAAUUUAAAAUGUAUAAAAUAUUUAUAGUUUUUAAAAUACAUGCUAACUUAAGUGACAAUCCUCAAUAAAGAAGCUAAAGAUGGGAUAUACUUAUAUAAGAAGGCCGAGCCCAUCGGCACUUAGCACCAUCCACAACAGAACAAAAUUUCAACCUGAAAAACAACAGGGAAUAAAACCCUGAGUACGCAAUUACUCAGCAAGACUUACCCGACUAAAGAAAAGACUCUCAAGGGUAUGCUGGUUUGUCGGGAAUUAAGGUAAAGCUUAUCGAAUUUCAAAGACACGUUUUCGCAGAAAAGCUUACUAGUAGUGGAUCCUUAUGCCAAACUUUUACUUCACAAAUUAAGUAUUUUUCCUGAAUUUAGAUUUGCCUAAUCUAGAGCAUUCACUUGUCCUACACUAGCUUCAUUUUAGCAGCUUUAGUUUCACUUGUUAUCUACGAUGCAGGGCAGUGAUCCAGUCUUCAUAUCCGAGAAGUAACGGCGAUCCGAAUCGAUUAAUACUCAGCUGAGGAUCUCCAACCACACGACAUAUGUAGCACUUAACCCUUGCAUAUGUCAACUCGCCCAUGGGUUUCUCAAGACCAGAACGGGUUCACGCGACCUGAGAGCACAGCACUCCACCGUCCAGUCAUUGGCCUGGUUGGUACACGUUACUCUCGCCAUGGUGCCCGCCAUGUUUCCAAGAGUACAGCACCCCACCUUCCAGCCGUUGGCCUAGUUGGUACACGUUACUCUCGCCAUGGUGCCCGCCAUGUUUCCGAGAGUACAGCACCCCACCUUCCAGUCUCUUGCCACGGAGGGUACAAGCUACUCUCGCCAUCUCUCCACUCCCAGUGCGUGCGAGCUGUUCUGGUAUUGGUCCGACCGAGGCAAAGCUUACCCAUGAUGAGGCAUGUGGCCAGUUAAAGGGUCCUAGAUCAGCAGGCCAACAAUCAGAACGGUCCUUAAGCGACACAGACGGGCGACCUUUCCUGCUCAACGUCUGGUCUCAUCUUAUUAUUUAACACCCAAACCAUGUACCUGACAGAGGUACCAUACUUGAAUGAUGAAUUCAUCACUGCAGAUGAUGCGCUCACCAUUACAAGUCCUUUUUCAUAAAACAAACCCAUACCCAGUGUCACACAUCAUUCUUUUAAAAAGAAACAAGUUUUAAUUCUCUAGGCAGGGCUAAGCCUCAUUAGUUCUUUUUGUAAAACAGGUAUCAAGGAGGAUAAUCAAAUUCCAAGGAAUGGCAAUGCAUCAACUGUUUCAUCACUCAACUCCUAUCACCUAAUGCAGCAUAUAAGUGAUAAAAGUUUUAAAACAACAAGGAGGUGGCAAAUGCACCGGGGCUUGCCUGAAAUAAACACUAUGUUAGUGUUGUUAGAUGAAGGCCACUUGACGAUCAACUUUCGUUUUGACAUCCGCUUAGUCCAUCCAUCUUCAGGCUCAUUGGCCGACAUCGUCUUGUGGGUUGUUUUGAUCCACACCCUUCGCUUCGCACGAUUUUCAGCUAGCGUACCUAAUUAGAUGUACAAUGCACAUGUAUAAACAUAAGGAAGAAUAACACAACAUAUUACACACAAUAAAGAAUUAAGCACAAUGACGAGACGCUGCAACACUUGUGAGAAAAUACUAGAUGCCAACAAAUGACUAAGUACAACAAGGACGGCCAUGGGUUCUAACCCAAACAUCGAGAAACUUUAAACGAAUACAAGUCCUAUCGUACUUAGGUAGAGUAUAAUACAAAAGAUUCAUCCGAUUAAAUUCACUAUAACUAGCUUCUAGGACUAACAUAUGGAGAGAAGCAAACUAACACAUUUAACAUAAUUAACCUAAACAGACUUAUCAGUUAAUUAUUGAAAUGCUACAUUUAUUUCUCGCAUUAUUAUUGAUACCACACAUCGCUCGUGCAGAACUAAUUUAAUUUUUACUUCAUAUUACUAAUUUCACCAUACUUACACAAAUCUGAAUAGUCGCAACUCAUUUACAUUCACCAAAGUAUUUACCUCCUCCUUAAUUCAAUCAAGUCUAAAGCAAACAUUUAGAAAGAAUGAACUGACCAUAUAUAAUAAAGAAUUUGGAUAAACACUUCACAUGCAACAAGUUUUCAUCAAUCAAGGAUCAAGGAUUGACUAAUCCUUCCCAGGCAAACAAAAAUGACACCAAGGAAUCAGUUUAACACAUGCAGAUUUUCUAGACAGCAGCACAGUGGUUAACUGUUUUAUUCAUAACUUACACAAUACUCAUCCAAAAAUAGUAAACUAAGACUUUUUGAAAAGAUUAUAAAGUCCUCUACAAUUUUGGUAUUAUCAUCACAGUGAGAUUCGACAUAUAGAAAUAUCAAACAGUACUAAACGCAAUUUCUGUCCAGAUUUGGACAGAAUUCGACUACUCGCUUCAAAAAUCCAUAACCGGAGUUUCAGAAAUCCAAAUCAGGUGAUCCUAGACUUUUUAGAAAGCUAGUAGAAUUGUCUACAAUUUAUUUGUAAACAUCUCAGGGUGAUUCAAUGUGUAUCGAAGUCAGUUAAUACAAACAAACAUAGCUGUCCAGAUUUGGACAGAUUCAGACAUCACAUUUCAAAUAGCCAUAACCUGACUUCUAGAUCACCAAAAAGGGUGAUCCAAAUUUUGUUGGGAGGCUUAAGAAAAGUACUAAAAUUCUUCUAUAAUUACUAAAGACUGGUUCUCAUUUUAACUUAGCCAAAAAAUACAAUUUUCGAAACCUGUCCAGAAUUGGGACAGAUUCUGAAACUGGACUUGGAAAAAUCAUAACUCCUAAACUACUAGUCCUAUGGUUAUGAAAUUUUAGCACAAGUAAGAUGAAGAGGUUAGCUACAACUUUUCUAUAUAACACUUUCACAGAAAACAUGAUUUACUUCACUCAAUUAGUUGCACAAUCAAAACUGUACGUGCAGGUUUGGACAGCAAUACCGUCAUCACUUAUUUUAACCAUAACCAUGAAUACAAUCAUGUCACUAUCCACGAAGAGGUAUCACCACUAACUCAUGAUGCAUAUAUAUUCACCAAACACAUCUAUUCAAUUCAUCUAACAAUUCAAUCAAUACUAAUAAUGAAUUAGCUUACCAACACUAAAUAGACUCAGAUUUCGCAAGAGCAACAAGGAUCUUCGGUUCAUCCAUUCCAUCAAACACCUAGAGCGCGUCGAACUGAAACACGGUUUCUUCUCCAUUGAUUUUCCCUAGAACUCUCUUCCAAUCUCACACACAAACACAUAGAGUUUCACAAGCGUCAUGACAUGGACAACAAACUGAAAUCAAAAUACAACACGCAAGGUCUAGGGAAACAAUAAAAAGAUUCGGAGCUCACCACUUGACAAAAGGGAGGGGGCUGGCGCUUGGGCUUUCAUUCAUGGAGAACAAAAGAAAAAGGGGAAGCUGCUGCUGCAGAAUUAGAGGAGGGCUACUGCUCCACGGAAGAACAGAGAGGAGGCUGGGCACAGAGGGAGGGCGAGCAGGGGAAGGAGGUGCCAUGGCUGCUGGCGUGGGGAGAAACCAGGGAGCAGAGAGGGGCUGGGCGAGCUCAGCUUGGGGAGGAAGAUGAGGGAGGGGCGGCCAUGGAAACCUAGGGCACUGGAGGGAGCUCACCAUGGGAGAAGCUGCAGACGGCCAUGGGAAGGAAGCACGGCGUGCUUGCAGCUGACAUGGGGAGGGACUCGGCUGGUGCAGCGGCCAUGGAGGCGAGGAGAUGGCUGGGCGAGCAGGGAGGGCGCGGCUGGCGAGCUGGAGCCGGGGAGAAACCAGAGCAAGGACAGCCGGCGUGGAGGCUAAGGCCGUCGGCCUAGGAAGAAGAUGGCGUGUAGGAGUUUGGUUGGGACGUGGCUGAUAAGCUUUGCAUCCUGGGCAUGCUGCGUAUGGCUGAGUGGAUGAGCUACGGUGGUUUCCAGAGAACAAACGUGUCUGAUGCUCAGAACAAUAAAGGGUGUGGUGGUUGAGGUUAAAAUCGAAGAAAUAUCUUCAUUCUCUUUUCCUCCACCAAGCAAUAUCUAAUUUACUCCACGAUUCUUAUUUUUGCACACCAACUAAUCCUAGAUUUAAAUCUUAAGACUAUGGCACAACUCGAUUUGAAUUUAAACUACCAAAGUUUUGAAUAGUUAGUAUUUGUCUAAAUUUUAAAUCCAAACAUACGCUAGUCUGAGUUAAUGUGGCACGAGCCACAAAAACCUAACAUAAGUUCUUGCGUUACGAUUUAGACGAAAAACAAAUAGACCGGAUUAAAACGAAAUUUAGGCUACACAUAAUAAAUUUUCAUAGCUACUGAAACAGAUUAAUUAUGAAUACUGGGUCCUGGCAGUAAUUAUCUCAGCCCUAUUUAAUUUUGCAUCAAUAUUGUUAUCGUCGAGUUCUAAUAAUAUUUGCUUGGGCCAAAAUCGCAAGAGUGAGUCGAGAUUCCAAAUUCAUGUUCUCUUAAUCCUUAAAUUUUGAAUAGACACCAGACUCGACAUAUCGCGAAAUAAAUACGCGAGAUCGAUGUGGCAUCGAAAUUGUGAUCCUUUCGGAAGCGAUGUCACGCAUCGUUCACGGGGCGAGAGGUUGGGCGCUGUCCAGACGCCGGUUAGCACCCGCCACACGUGUCACGAUGUCAGGCCACAGAGAGACACGUGCAACGCAAGCGUGAAAGAAUUUCAAAUGCAGUUUAAGAAACUAGAUCCGAUUUCCAGAAUUAAAGUUUGGGCAAGACGUUGAUGGCUUAACCCAAACGAUACUGGAUUCGAUGUUCCGAAAAUUACUGAAGUCUGAAUUUUUGCGAAAUAAUUUAGGACAAUUUAAACAGAUGGAGA
rnacentral:lncRNA from 1 species